GUACAGGGGACUAACUAGCUAGAUGUUAGAUAGUUAACUUUAUAUACAGUAGGAUCUAUGCUUUUGAUUCUAGGUGGCCAGUUAUUAACUGAAAAUGAGUUUAGACACACUCUUUCAACAAAUCCUUCUAACUGAACAACAAUUAACUGAACAGACACAAAAAUUCAAAGAAGUCAAAGUAGCCAUCAUCAGAUACAAUGAGAAGAUCAAGAGUGCCACUGAGAAGAAUGAAAAGACCAAUGAGGAACUUGAUACAAAGGCACAGCAGUUGUCUGCGAUGAGGCUGCAGCAUGACCUGAUGAAGAAAUGUGAAGACCAGAUGUUGAAGCAAAUUGAGAAGCUGCUCGGCCAUCAGAGCCAACUCAGGGAACGUCUCGCCAAGAUAAAGUGGGAGUCUAAGGAAGAAAAGGAAAACUUCUUUCAAGAGAUCUCAAGGUUCAACAGUGACUUCAGUCUUCGAGGAUCCAGAGACGUAGUGUUCGAGAGCCAAACACACACUGAGCUCCUGGACCUGGAGAGGGAGGUGGAAGCAUUAUACAGAGAGAUGGAGCUGAUGAGCCGCAGGAACAAUCGCAUGAGCUCCAUGCAGGAGGAGAAGAGAGUGCUCCAGCUCAAAAUGCAGGGCCUGUGUAACGUCCACAAAGACCUGGAUCAUCAGUUGAGUGAGGCUGAAGCAAUGACAGAAUCUCUGAGAGCCGAGAGCCUGUUUGUCAGUCAGAAAGCUCUCACUGACAGCACCUGUCUGAGGCUGAGGGAGGAGCUGGAGAUGCAUAAAGAAGGAGAGCUUCUGCGAGAGGCCCUCAGCUCUGAAAUACACUUCCUGAAGUCUAAGUUGAUGACAAACGCAGACUGACCAAGCUCUCUCCUGCUGGGGAUGUUUGGCACUGCCUGCUGGAGUGUUUCUGAUGUGGAUCUCAACUGGAAGUUUGUAUUCCAUGUCAAGCAACUGGGAAAUGACCCGAAAUGACGCCAAACAGAAAGGACCUGAGCCCCACGACCUCCUCUCCACCAUGGAGACCUGGAAAGAGGACAGACUACACAGACUCAAAGAGGCAAAGCAAAAAAAAAAACGUUCACACAGAUAGGAGAAAGGAAACAAACCCACAGACGGAGAGGGAGACGAGGAAAACAUGCACACAGGGGACAGAGAGACAGAAACAAGUGGAGAGGUUGAAUCUCUUCCAGAUGCAAACAUCUGGAAUGAGGCACCGACAGCCGGGAGAGAGUUCCCAGGAUGGCUGAUGGUCCAGCAUGGAGAAGCCUGAGUGAAAAGAGAGUACUAGGAAGACGAAACACGGAGAGAGAGAGGCAAACAGCUUGGACACUCAUGUGCUUGUGGGACACAAACAAACGGGUUGGAGGGAUGCAGUGGUUUAUAGAAAGUUUUCAGAUUUCUCGUUGGCAGGACAAACAUGGACUAUAGUACGAGGCUUAAUAAAAUGCAUUACUUGAGACAGACCAGCAGAUGUCUGAGAGCAUGGGAUGAAAUAUAAGUUUUAAGAAGAUCAGACAGGUAGAUAUGUGCCCAUUUACAAUUUAAGACAUUAGAAGGGAGCCAAUGAGGGAAAGCCAAACCUGGAUGAUAUAAAAGUGUGAAUUAGGCUGUCUGCAUCAGCCAAAGACAGAAACAACUUUUUUCUAUGUUGCGUUGGUGAAUAAAGGUUGUCUUGGUGAUUUAUUUAAUGUGCCAAAACAGAUUGGUAGAGAGGGUAGGAUAAAAUUUAAAACCAAGAUUAUUGGCUGUCAAACUUUGAGGAAUCACACAUGUUUUCUAGCGUUACUUGAUCAAACUGGUGUCUGUGUGAAGCAGGGCCAAUGACCAGCAUCUCAGUUUUAUCAUAAUUUCGGGGCAGCAAAUUGCAUGACAUUCAGUUUUCCACAGCAGACAAGCAGGCCUCUAAUUUAAUAAUUUGUAAAAAAAGACCAUCCUCCUUUACAGGCACAUACAGCUGAGUAUCAUCAGCGUAGCAGUUAAAAUUAAUUCCAUGGCUGAAAGGCGAAAUAGCCCUGAGGUACUCCAUAUUUCACAUCAGAAAAUAUUGAUGUAGGAUCAUUAUUGGAAACACAUUGUGUACUUUCAGAUAAGUAAGAGAUGGAAAAUUGUACACAGUGCAAAAAAAGAAGCAGAAAGAAAAGACAACUGGCACCCUUUUGCUUCAGCUGCAGUGUUUCUCUCUCUCAGUCAUCAUUCGCGGUUUCUCAGAGACACUGACACUGCUAAUAGGCCCUAGGAUGAUAAAAGGCUUUUCAGAUUAGUGCUCCAAAGUAGCUUUAGGAUUUUUCCAGGUCCCAGCUCAUGGGCCCUCCCUUGUUGCGGAGCUUGGCUCUGCGAGACAUUUGGUUAUUCCAGGAAGAAAACUCAACCUUGUAUGAAAACAACGUUGAAGGUUCAAUUGUAAUGUUAUGUUUUGCCAUGUGACAUAUGUGGUUGAUGUGUUGUGUUGUGUUGUGUUGUAUGCAUUAAUGUGUGUUGAUUUCUAUGUGAGACAGUGUGAAUUUCUGUCUGUGUGUGAGUUAUUGGUUUAAUUUCCCCUUUUAUGUGACUGUAAAUGAAAGAUAUUUGAAUAAAGCUACUGAGGCUCAUU